rnacentral:rRNA from 1 species
CACUGCCGAGAAAAGCCUCUAGAUAGAAAAUAGGUGCCCGUACCGCAAACCGACACAGGUAGUCAAGAUGAGAAUUCUAAGGUGAGCGAGCGAACUCUCGUUAAGGAACUCGGCAAAAUGACCCCGUAACUUCGGGAGAAGGGGUGCUCUUUAGGGUUAACGCCCAGAAGAGCCGCAGUGAAUAGGCCCAAGCGACUGUUUAUCAAAAACACAGGUCUCUGCUAAACCGUAAGGUGAUGUAUAGGGGCUGACGCCUGCCCGGUGCUGGAAGGUUAAGAGGAGUGGUUAGCUUCUGCGAAGCUACGAAUCGAAGCCCCAGUAAACGGCGGCCGUAACUAUAACGGUCCUAAGGUAGCGAAAUUCCUUGUCGGGUAAGUUCCGACCCGCACGAAAGGCGUAACGAUUUGGGCACUGUCUCAACGAGAGACUCGGUGAAAUCAUAGUACCUGUGAAGAUGCAGGUUACCCGCGACAGGACGGAAAGACCCCGUGGAGCUUUACUGUAGCCUGAUAUUGAAAUUCGGCACAGCUUGUACAGGAUAGGUAGGAGCCUUUGAAACGUGAGCGCUAGCUUACGUGGAGGCGCUGGUGGGAUACUACCCUAGCUGUGUUGGCUUUCUAACCCGCACCACUUAUCGUGGUGGGAGACAGUGUCAGGCGGGCAGUUUGACUGGGGCGGUCGCCUCCUAAAAGGUAACGGAGGCGCUCAAAGGUUCCCUCAGAAUGGUUGGAAAUCAUUCAUAGAGUGUAAAGGCAUAAGGGAGCUUGACUGCGAGACCUACAAGUCGAGCAGGGUCGAAAGACGGACUUAGUGAUCCGGUGGUUCCGCAUGGAAGGGCCAUCGCUCAACGGAUAAAAGCUACCCCGGGGAUAACAGGCUUAUCUCCCCCAAGAGUUCACAUCGACGGGGAGGUUUGGCACCUCGAUGUCGGCUCAUCGCAUCCUGGGGCUGUAGUCGGUCCCAAGGGUUGGGCUGUUCGCCCAUUAAAGCGGUACGCGAGCUGGGUUCAGAACGUCGUGAGACAGUUCGGUCCCUAUCCGUCGUGGGCGUAGGAAAUUUGAGAGGAGCUGUCCUUAGUACGAGAGGACCGGGAUGGACAUACCUCUGGUGUACCAGUUGUCGUGCCAACGGCAUAGCUGGGUAGCUAUGUGUGGACGGGAUAAGUGCUGAAAGCAUCUAAGCAUGAAGCCCCCCUCAAGAUGAGAUUUCCCAACUUCGGUUAUAAGAUCCCUCAAAGAUGAUGAGGUUAAUAGGUUCGAGGUGG